rnacentral:rRNA from 1 species
UUGGUGACCAGCGGAGGGAUCAUUACCGAGUUUACAACUCCCAAACCCAAUGUGAACGUUACCAAACUGUUGCCUCGGCGGGAUCUCUGCCCCGGGUGCGUCGCAGCCCCGGACCAAGGCGCCCGCCGGAGGACCAACCAAAACUCUUUUUGUAUACCCCCUCGCGGGUUUUUUUAUAAUCUGAGCCUUCUCGGCGCCUCUCGUAGGCGUUUCGAAAAUGAAUCAAAACUUUCAACAACGGAUCUCUUGGUUCUGGCAUCGAUGAAGAACGCAGCGAAAUGCGAUAAGUAAUGUGAAUUGCAGAAUUCAGUGAAUCAUCGAAUCUUUGAACGCACAUUGCGCCCGCCAGUAUUCUGGCGGGCAUGCCUGUCCGAGCGUCAUUUCAACCCUCGAACCCCUCCGGGGGGUCGGCGUUGGGGAUCGGCCCUCCCUUAGCGGGUGGCCGUCUCCGAAAUACAGUGGCGGUCUCGCCGCAGCCUCUCCUGCGCAGUAGUUUGCACACUCGCAUCGGGAGCGCGGCGCGUCCACAGCCGUUAAACACCCAACUUCUGAAAUGUUGACCUCGGAUCAGGUAGGAAUACCCGCUGAACUUAAGCAUAUCAAUAAAG